AUUGAACGCUGGCGGCAGGCCUAACACAUGCAAGUCGAGCGGAGCGGAGGACGGGUGAGUAAUGACUAGGAAUCUGCCUGGUAGUGGGGGCUAACGUCCGGAAACGGGCGCUAAUACCGCAUCCUAUCAGAUGAGCCUAGGUCGGAUUAGCUAGUUGGUGGGGUAAAGGCCUACCAAGGCGACGAUCAGUAACUUGUCUGAGAGGAUGAUCAGUCACACUGGAACUGAGACACGGUCCAGACUCCUACGGGAGGCAGCAGUGGGGAAUAUUGGACAAUGGGCGAAAGCCUGAUCCAGCCAGGCCGCGUGUGUGAAGAAGGUCUUCGGAUUGUAAAGCACUUUAAGUUGGGAGGCGUUACCCGCAGAAGAAGCACCGGCUAACUCCGUGCCAGCAGCCGCGGUAAUAC
rnacentral:rRNA from 1 species